AUUGAACGCUGGCGGCAGGCCUAACACAUGCAAGUCGAGCGGCAGCGGAAAGAAGCUUGCUUCUUUGCCGGCGAGCGGCGGACGGGUGAGUAAUGUCUGGGGAUCUGCCCGAUGGAGGGGGAUAACUACUGGAAACGGUAGCUAAUACCGCAUAACGUCGCAAGACCAAAGUGGGGGACCUUCGGGCCUCACACCAUCGGAUGAACCCAGAUGGGAUUAGCUAGUAGGUGGGGUAAUGGCUCACCUAGGCGACGAUCCCUAGCUGGUCUGAGAAGAUGACCAGCCACACUGGAACUGAGACACGGUCCAGACUCCUACGGGAGGCAGCAGUGGGGAAUAUUGCACAAUGGGGGAAACCCUGAUGCAGCCAUGCCGCGUGUGUGAAGAAGGCCUUCGGGUUGUAAAGCACUUUCAGCGGGGAGGAAGGCGAUGGCGUUAAUAGCGCUAUCGAUUGACGUUACCCGCAGAAGAAGCACCGGCUAACUCCGUGCCAGCAGCCGCGGUAAUACGGAGGGUGCGAGCGUUAAUCGGAAUUACUGGGCGUAAAGCGUACGCAGGCGGUCUGUUAAGUCAGAUGUGAAAUCCCCGGGCUCAACCUGGGAACUGCAUUUGAAACUGGCAGGCUAGAGUCUCGUAGAGGGGGGUAGAAUUCCAGGUGUAGCGGUGAAAUGCGUAGAGAUCUGGAGGAAUACCGGUGGCGAAGGCGGCCCCCUGGACGAAGACUGACGCUCAGGUACGAAAGCGUGGGGAGCAAACAGGAUUAGAUACCCUGGUAGUCCACGCUGUAAACGAUGUCGAUUUGAAGGUUGUGGCCUUGAGCCGUGGCUUUCGGAGCUAACGCGUUAAAUCGACCGCCUGGGGAGUACGGCCGCAAGGUUAAAACUCAAAUGAAUUGACGGGGGCCCGCACAAGCGGUGGAGCAUGUGGUUUAAUUCGAUGCAACGCGAAGAACCUUACCUACUCUUGACAUCCAGAGAACUUGGCAGAGAUGCUUUGGUGCCUUCGGGAGCUCUGAGACAGGUGCUGCAUGGCUGUCGUCAGCUCGUGUUGUGAAAUGUUGGGUUAAGUCCCGCAACGAGCGCAACCCUUAUCCUUUGUUGCCAGCGAUUCGGUCGGGAACUCAAAGGAGACUGCCGGUGAUAAACCGGAGGAAGGUGGGGAUGACGUCAAGUCAUCAUGGCCCUUACGAGUAGGGCUACACACGUGCUACAAUGGCGCAUACAAAGAGAAGCGAUCUCGCGAGAGUCAGCGGACCUCAUAAAGUGCGUCGUAGUCCGGAUUGGAGUCUGCAACUCGACUCCAUGAAGUCGGAAUCGCUAGUAAUCGUGGAUCAGAAUGCCACGGUGAAUACGUUCCCGGGCCUUGUACACACCGCCCGUCACACCAUGGGAGUGGGUUGCAAAAGAAGUAGGUAGCUUAACCUUCGGGAGGGCGCUUACCACUUUGUGAUUCAUGACUGGGGUG
rnacentral:rRNA from 1 species